AUACAUUUUGAAAAUAUGGAAGUGAUUGAUAUUUGGCAGUAAGUUGUGGUCAUCAUAAAUUACAAGGAUGGAUCGCAGUAAUGCAACAGUUGAUAAGAGUAUUUAAUUCAUCUGCUCAGAUUCACAAGGCUUUUUUUAAUAAAAGUAAAAAAUCACGAUCUUUUACAUUAUUGCUGGUGGUGAAUACAGAUUUGUUGUUGUAACACUUAACAUUGCUUAACAUUGUAAGGUAAGGCAGGGAAGAAGUAUAGACUUAGGGAGUUAUCUGGGAAGAAAAAGUUUACUUAAGAGAAUACUAGGUUUUCAUCAGAGGUUUUGUGCCACUCAUAUCAUGCCAGCAGACUCAGACGUGACUUUCCUUUUCUUUCUUGCUCAAAGGUACUGAACUUUUUACUCUACAAGGUUUUACUCUACAAGUUGAAGGGGUUUUUGAAAACAUGUUUUUUCAGAAAAUCUGUACAGUGCAGACAUCCACUGAGUUAUGGCAUGAACAAGGAAUUUCUCCACACUAGUAUAAUGAAUUAAAUUGCCUACAUUUUUCAGUAGUUGUGUUUAUCAGCAUUACCCAAUGAACUGAAACUACAGUUCUUGGCAAAAACCUUUUACUGAAGUAAUUUGCAAAUUUGCUCCCAGUUUAGAUAGUUCUGUGCCUUACAGUAAGAGUAAAUGCUCUUCCUCAUAUUUGGCCUUUCUAAGUGUAUUGAAUUCUGUAUUGAAAAAUAUGUUAAUAAAUAGACAGGAAUUUACUAAAAUCUGGAAAUCAGUGUCUUCCUCAGUGUGUUUACCAGAGGGAGUUAUCAGUGCUUUUCCUCAUGCAUUGUCACAGUUGUUAAUCCCUGGCAGGAUUUCUGUUCCUAUUCUGUAAGUGCUGUGUCACACAAUAAAAAAAAAAUCUUUCAUUUUUGGUUUAAAUGCAUCUUUGCAUUUUGUAUAAACCUGAAAUCUAGCAUUUUUAUACUGCAUUUAACUCAUUUUUAUUAUUUUUUUCUUAGAAAAGACACUGUACAAAAUGAAGAGCACUACAUGUUGGAGUGAAGACAGAAAGCCUGUUUAUAAGAGGAAUAAAGUUUGUCUACAGAGAAUAUAACCAAAGUUCUUCAAGAUGAACUCUGCUCAUUCACAGCCACUACCAGCAGUUCCCUUUUGCUUCGAGUUCUAGUUUCAGUUCUGCUGUUGAGGAACCUGUUAGAGUGAUGAGCAAGCACCUCCUUGGGCUCCCCAGUAGGCAGUGCUAGGAAGAUGCUCUGCUGCUGCGGUCAGUGUUUCUGUAGCAUCACCUGUGACCCGUGCUACUGUUGCCAUGAAGGGAUGCCAGCUUCAGAUGAGUAACAUUCUUACACACAAAAAAAUAUCCUUUCACUGAAAAAUCUGCUAUCAUUUCCACUGAGGAGUACUAACUAUAGUUUUAUUUUGCAAAUUUGGUACUAUGUAUUACCAGACAUACUGCUUAGGGCAUUGAGUAGUCCCUCUAAUGUUUUUCACAAUGUACCAUAUCUAAUAAUAAAUGCUUAUAAGGCACCACUAACUGAACACAAGUUUCAGUGCAAUGAGGGUGGGUAUGAGCACUGUGCAGAAGAGAUAAGAUUUUAUUUUUAGAUUGGAUACCUUUAUAACUAGGAAGGGGAGGCAUUUUUUAGUAUUGUUCUCUAUAGAAUAACUUAAACAUGUUUUAACACCUGAAUUUUUUUCACGUAUACAUUUGAAUUGUUUCUUUCUGAUUAAAAUGAAGUGAAAGAUACUCAGGUUAGAUUAGCUACUGGAAUAAAUACACUAGGAUUUUUAAGCACUAGAAAGGACAGUGGUAGCUUAAGAGCUUAUUUAAGAAACUGUCAAAAUUAGAAAAUACAUCUUUCUACAUUCUGACAGUCUCUAAAAUUUUAUUCUAAAGAUCAAAAAGAAAAGGAUUUUAUUCCUAGGGAACUUUCAAUGAGAGCACACUGCAGUCCUCCACAGAUCUGUCAGUACUUGACUUUCUGCAGCUUCAUGGAAAAGAUUUACAGAACAAAUGCUUUACUACCUGUUUGAAAAUGUCUCUGGGACAGGUCUUUGGUAUAACUCCAGUAUUUCCUGCAGCUAAUGGUGAAUGAUAUUUUGAGGGCAUAAAGGGUACUUGUUUAAGUUUCCAGUGAAAUAUCAUCAAAUACUAGUGUUAAAAUCUGAUUUUCUUUGGACUGCUGGUAAGAGGCAUGUAUAAGAAUCUAGGUAUACAAUAGCUAUGAAUUGAAAUAACUGGGUAAAUAAUGAAUAAGUUGUUUCUUUCUUUAAUGGAAAGACUAUCUGAGUGAAUAGCAUACCAUUUUCUUAACAAAUCUCAUAGUCAAAGUGUCUUAUUGGAUAUUCACCUGCUUUUAGAUGUCCAGACAGUGGACAAAAUCACUUUUCCAUCUUUAGUUGCCAAAGAGCUUGUGCUCUUUUCUGUCCAAAUCCCUCACAAUAGUUAUCCAUGCCUUCUUGUUCCUAGAUUAAGUUGCACUGACCAUAUUUUGAAGUUCAUUUUCAAUUUUCAGUUCAGCACUGAAAGGAUUGAUUCAGCAUUGGAGCUACAGAGUAUAUUAACACGUUAGAUUUUAUGUGCUGUUUCUAUAUUCAGUGCAAGUUCCUAGUUUCAGUCUCUUCUCUAGACCUUUCAAAUCUUCAUCUCUUGUCAUGCUAUGCCCUUGUAACUGAGAUGAGCUGAGCUUUGAGAAAACCCUCUGUAGCUAUUUUCGUAUUAGGAAGCAAGACAGUUGCAUUGGCAGGAUAUAAUUCAGAAUUUUCUUCCAGUUUUGAUCCGUGAAGUUUAUUGACCUGCAGUAUACAUAUCUCGGCCUAUUAAAUGUAUCUUGGGGUUGCUUUCAGCAUGUACUUGAAAAGGCAGUGAGGUAUGAAGGCCAUAUUAUUCUGCCCUUCAGUCCAAUUAAGUGAAAUUUAAAUCAGUGGAAAUCAGUACCAUUUAGUUUCUCCCUGCUGUCGGGACAUCACAAUUAAGAGGACUUGCACAAGGAUCAGUACUGUCCAUAAAAAGAAAGAAGGUCAUUUCUGACUGUGUGUCUUAGCAUUUUUAACACAGUACCAUCGGAAAAUGGAUGCAUAUACACAUGCACAGUGGCAUGCAUUCAGUCUUUCCACCUCGCAUGAUAGUGUAGGAAGAACUAACAUACUAGCUGUUUCUAGAAUGCCUGUUACUUAAUAUGUGAGUUAUCACAAAAUAAACUGUCUUCUUUCUCUUUCAUUUCACAAGAAAAUUAAUUUUGACUAUUGCUUUAUAUGAACUUGCAUGACAAAAAUUGGAUUAAAUAGAUUUCAUAGCUUUUCUACCACAAGUAAUGAUGGACAAUUCCUUGUAAAUCUCAUUAUCCUAAUCAAAUCCUACUACAUUAUGCUAGGACAAAACAAACCAAACAAACAAAAAAACACACGUUUACAUGCAAGCCUACUUCACUGAUUGGCAUCUUUAUAACACCUACAUGUUCUUUGUGCUUUAUUUGUGAGACUUGAAUUAGAAGACCUAGAAGUUCAAAAUAAAUGUGUAAGCUUUACUAGUCUUUGAAAAGUGGAAAGAUGGAGAAGGUGUUGCUGUUCUUGUUAGUGAAACUACUAAAAAAUUGGAUUACAUGUGUUUUCAGGGUCACAUCUUUAUGUGAUUUACAGAAGCAAAUUAUCUCCACAUAGCUCCUGCACAAAUAGUUUCUGUUUAAUGAAAACAACUGGAACAUUUACUUUGACAACACAAAACUGCGAGUCAAUUUUUAAAGCCCAAAUCCAGCAAGCUAUAUAUUAAUAAAUAUCAUUCAGUACUGCAAGCUCUCAUUUCCUCCUGCAGCUGAAGGCACUUGGUUCCACUCUGGAUGAUGCUUUGUACUUCUAUGAAGUGUACAAAGUGAGUUCAGCCUUUUGUCCUAUUUCAAAAUGAUUAACUAUCUCUGAACUCUUCAAAAUGCAAAAUUUAUUUUUAAAUGGGUUACAUAUGUCCUAGUUUCCGUGUCAUCCUUAGCUUACUCCCUGGCUUUCAAGACAGUUUAGCUUACGUCCUGGAGGAGCUAGAUAACACAGGCACUACAGCCUGUAUCUGAACUCUCUUAUUAGGAUAUAGAGGUUGUCUAUGCUGCAAGUUCUUUCUGAUAUGGCUGUGCUGCCAGUGUGCAUAAUGGCUGUGAAAUGUGAUGAUUUUUCUGUUGAUGUAGAUACACUAUUUCCUUGAAAACAUAAAGGAAAUGGGCAAAAGAAUUCUUUUGUAAUAGAUUUUUCCUUACCAACACACAGAUACUUAUGGGUGGUCUCCUAUUUGGCUGUAGCUUGGAUCUAUUUGCAUAUUCUCUCAUUCAACAGAUUCGUUCAGACUGCUCACCUGCACUUCACUACUCAUCUAGCACUACUGAAUGGCAGAUAGCACUGAACAACCCUGUAUGUAUCAUCAUAUUUGACCAAGGAGAAACUGAUGAAUUUUCACUGUGUUCAACAAACUGUGAAAUUUCCAGUCCAGUGCCAGUGAAACUGGAACACUGCAGCAUCAUAAAUUAUCACUAUAGCACACAGCAUGCGCCCAAGUCCAUCUGUUAUCAACCAGCUCUAUCUCUAAGUAGACUCCUCGUGAAAAUGAUCUGACACAAUGAAAGUUUGUGGCAGGUGCGUUGCUGUAAUAAAGUGUUCUAGUCUGGGGCACUGGAUUUUUGGAUCUUGCAAAGACAGUCCUGCAAAUGGAAUGGGACAUACAACCGGCACCAUAAAGACCAUCGAGGGACCUCGGCAGCCAUGAAAGGGGAAUUGUGCAUCUAAGAGUUUUACACCUGUAGAUCCAUCCUUCAUGAACCAGAGCAUGCCUUUCAGAGUUCCUUCAGGAAAAGAUCAGACUAUGCUAUUAACCUUCCUAAACAUUCACCUCGGAGGCUAAACUUCGCAGUACUUCAACUUCGAUUCUGAGAAGUGUCUCUAUUCCACAGCAACAUGCUAAGUGAGAGUGAAUGAAGUCCCUUGUGCAACAAAUGUAUGCAAGUUGCCAGACCAAGAUGAAGAAAUGUAUUCUCCUGGAUUCUUGGGUGGCUCAAUUCAGGUUGGCUGAGUUCAGUGCAUCGGCUGAGGGCAGGGGCAGCCUGCCAGCACAGCUUCACUUUCUUUGGAUGUGGCACUGAAAUGCUGCUGGCAACAGUAGUUCUCUCUUGGCAUUUCUUAGCUCAUCAUAGGUGAGUGAGUGAGUAAGUGCACAGCCCCAUGUACGUAGAUAAGCACCAAAUACUUUGUCACGCCAUCCAGUUAUAAGCAUGAAGUAGAUCACCAUGGUACAUCUUCCUCCCAGUUUUCCCCAGUGGAAGACUUCAGGGCUUUGGAGUGCAUAUGCAAGCAUGUCACUCUCUUCAACGAGCUGUCUUGCAUUUACUUCUUCCUCGUCAGAGCCUUGCAAACUCAGCUUCAAGCACAGAUGGGCCCAAGUAGACAUUUUCAUUUGAAUUCAGUAAGUCUCCUCGGACUGGGGUUCAGUCAAGAGCAAAGCAGGAGUUCUGCUAAAUUAAGCUGCUGUCUGUGGAAGAACUAACUCAAUUUUUAGUGUUGAGAAAAACUGUGGUUUGAUAGACUUGGCACAUAGGUGGAACUGCUACCGCACUGUCAUGACAGAUAGCCUUAAAUCAUUUGCUUAGCUGUAAUAUAGAAAUGUAUGAAUACAUGCCUUCUUCCAUGACAAUUUUGAUCCUAUCUCAUCUGACAAAGCACCUAUCCUCUUCAUAGGAGAGAAACACCAAGCCUUUGAUUUCUUUGUUAGAAAAGUAACCAUGUUAGUAAAUGUUGCAAAUCACUGUAUUAUUUGUAACAAGGUAUUAAAAUAAAAAGCCCGCAGAUGCUCAUUAAUAAUUUACAACCUCACUCUACAGCUGGUUAAGCACCUUGGACUGUUUUACUUUACCACAGAACUAAAGAGAGUUUACCAUUGCUUCUGUGUUGAGAAACCCUGGAGAUAUUGAUAAAUCAUUUCUCAGUUAAAAAAAAAUCUGCAAAGUCACAAGUAGGUGUGAUCCCAGAAAUUGUUUCAGCUUUCUUUUCCAAAUCAUUAUUUCUUUUGAUACCAGAAGUAUUGUUUUCCAUGUCACUAAUCCUUCUAAAUAUCCUAUAAAAUGGAUCUGGUAAUUGCCAGAAAGCUGUCUAACUAGAGCUGCUUGAAAUAAAUAUUGUUUUUUUCUGUGCAGCUCCAUGCAUAGAUACUGGAGCUCCUACUUGCCUCCCUGGUGAGCAGGGUUACUCAGCUUGUUCAGUGCAGUGGCUCUCCCCAGAGCCAGCUAACUGCUUUUUGUGGAACUAGGAAAGAAUCAGGGGUACCUCCUUGAGGAAACUCUCAGCACAACUCUUGGCACAGGCCGUAAAAGCAUUUCACAUGCUAAUAUUCUACUCACAGUUGCAGUUGUGUCAUCCAGACAAGUAUCUCCUGAUUUAGAGAUGUGAGAACAAAAUGUAGCCCUGCUAACUUAUCUGUCAAUUAUCAGUAGUCAGAUCCUAGAUAAUUAAAAACAAACUCCUUGUUAACAGACAGUGGGAAUCAAUUCUUUGCACGGUCCUAAUUUAUUGUAUUUCACAGAGAAUGUGAAUCAGAAUCCUGAUUAUUUUAAUUCUCUGUAAGCCCUUUGAAGUCACAGGAUGAAAUAAAAUUGUGACUGAGCCUAGCAAUGGACAGGAUCAAGACAGUUUUUCUCUCCAUCAUGAAAUGGAAUAGAGUGUUAUGAAAAGGUUUUCUUCCAGUUUUUGUUUAGGAAGAAAAGAGUCAAACUGUGAAACAGAACAUUAAAGAAAGGGAAAGCUAUGUUCUGAAAUAGGCAGAGAGAGACCAUUUCAACUGUUCCCAGUUUGCUAGAAAAUAUUUUUGCCUCUCUCAUCAUCAUUCAUUUUUCCCUCUCUCAAUUCUGUUAAAAUAGUCACUGAGGCUAAUGCCUAAAACUACAGCAAAUAAACAGCUUUGGUGUGGGGUGAAUUUAUAACAGGACUGUUAUAAUUUGUGUCUAGGGACCAGAAAGAACUGUACAUCAUUAUGCAAAUAUACAUGCAAUAGGCUAAACAGUGAAACAAAGAGGAAAAGAAAGGAAAUCCCUCAUGGACAGACCAGAGAAUCGACACAAGAAUUUCCUCUGAAGCAAUUCUGUCACAUUAUGAAAAUACAUGCUUGGACCAUUUUAAUACUUUUUGUUAUUUACACAGUAGACCAUAAUGGCUCUGAAGCUAACUGCAGUGUUUAUUCAAUAGACUAAGUCUGUUUUUUUUUUUGGCCUAUCAUGUGAAUUUGUAUUUGAGUAAUUCUGAAAGGGUGUAUUUUACUCAAUGGACCAUAGUGGCUUCUCUGGAGCCUGUUACAUUGUACAGUAUUUUCUAGUAUGUUGCAGCCCUUAUGUUAAUACAGAUACAGUGAUCUUCAUGGCGUGCUUUUUAACUGUGCUCUGAGGACUUGUUUCCUAAGUCUCUUAGGUGCCUGAAUGGAAUAUCCAAUGUAUUAUAUAGUAUUGCUCCAAGCAGUUUUACAUUCUGCCAGGCUUCUGUCUCACUCUUUAAAAAUGAAAACCUCCUGGAGAUGAGAAGGUGGGAAUUAUGCCACUGUCCAAAGAUUCCUGGAGGAGCUUACAGUUAAACUAGCAUGAAAGAAGUCCAAUUCCCUCCAGUCUCCAGUAGUCUCUGCAUGCUUGCUUGAAAUAUUUAUUUUUCUGGUUUAUCUAUAAACAUCUCAAUGACAUUAACUCAAACACAAAGAAUUUAAUGUAUUUUUGAGACAGCUAUUGAGCUUUGUCUUUCACUGAUUCUUUUCAGUAUUCCCCACUGAGGAUCUGCAUGUUUUUUAGUUACCCAAAAGCAAAGCUGUAACAUCCUAGAAAUGUCCAAGGUACAGAAGUUUACUUCCAAAACCAGAAGCAUCUCUAGCUUUUGGGGAGAGAGGCACUUUUGUAAACAGCAGUUACUGAAGACUACAAGACUUUUCACCUGUGCUUGACUUUCCUACAGAGUGACAAAGCCACAGCUUGAAUUACUUAUCUUAGAUGCUGUAACAGGGUGAGGAUCCCAUAUUAGCCAUGAAAACAUCUUUUUGGAUAAAAGCCAAACUGGACUUUCAGUGCAUUUUAGCUGUAUCACUGGGCUAAUUCAGAAGAAAGCAACAUAAAAGGAAAAAACAAAAAGAAGAAAAAGAAAAGUAAAACUUUAAAGUGGAGAAUGAACAUAUUCAGAAACUUCUAUUUUGUACUGUAAUCUCUGCUCUUUCCCUUAUUUUAGCAAAGCAAAAAUGAUUACUUUUUUUGUUGUUGUUGUUUCUGCCUUUUCUUGUUUUCUUAUUUCUUUCAAUACUGUUGAUACUACCAAGGCAUUAGCGCUAGUAAGAGAGGAGUUUGCAUAUGCAAAUUUUACUCCCUUAAUUAAAAUCAGGCACACUUGAUUAUGCUGCUGAGCCCCACAGCUGCAAAUUUGUAAACAAAGGGUUACAUGCUUAGAAAGGAAAAUGCCUUAAGUCAUUUUUCUGUGAUAGACCUUUCUUAGUCCUUAGUCUGCUUUUAAUGUGAAGCCCAGUGCCAAAUUAAAUUCUUUGUUCCUAGACUGAAGCGCAUGCUGGUCCAGGGGCUCAUUUUGUGGUUAUUUUGUUUAGACUUGGGAUUGCUUUAUUUCCAUUUUGUAUUUGCUCAUCUAGCUUGGAACCUCUUGCUUUCUGGUUGGUAGGAAUAAAACAAAUAAGGUCAGGUGAAUGUUAUAUAAUGUGAUGAGAUUAAUAGGGAAAAGAAGCCAUGGAUUUCCAGCU